CUCCCUGAGCACUGGGCAUGGAGGGUGGAGCAUGUGAGAGAAUCCUUUCUCUCCUUCACCAACAAGAAAACCAACGCCUGGGGACAGCAUGUCACUUGUUCAGGGUCAGCAGAAAUUCCCCUUUGUGGGUGGGGAGCAGGGGGAGGAGGUGCUGGAGGUGAGUGACAAGACCGGACAGUAAGAGGCGGGGAUGAGACCGAAAAUAAAGUGGGACAUUCCUAGGCCAGCCUCUCUCAGCCCAUCCCUGCCACACCCCUAGCCGAAUGUUCUUACACACAACACAUAAACAAAGUGCCGGCUGCCUGUCAAAGGGCCAGGCCGCCUCAGACACCACAGAGGGUCAGAGACCAAAGGACGAGGGGCCACCGGCCCCCACCACACACACACACACACACACACACACUCACACACACACACUCACACUUCUCCAGAGAAUGGGAGGGGGAGGGGGACCCCACACCUGUUCCCCCCCAAGCCCCACUCCCCAUACCAGGACUGGAGUGACUGAGCGUUCUCUCUGUGCAAAACAGAGUUAAAAAUACGAGCGCGGAAGAACAGAAUGUGAGCUCAGGUCCCCUCCCAGCCAGCACGUUGCUGGAUGGGGAAAUCAGGACAGCUGGAGAUUCCGAUGGAAACCCCUCUCCCAGGACUGGAUGGACCACAGCAGCUAAAAUUAGCAAAGCUGGGACUGGCUUACCACACACACACACACGCACACACACACGCACGCACACACGCGCGCACACAGGGCUCCCCAGAGUUUUGCUGUACCCAAAUGUGUUUCAGGGGCUGGGGACAAUCAGGCCAGAGGCCUGGGGUAACAGUCUACCCAAGUGGUGGGGAAGCCUGGGCCCGUGGAUCACCCCCCCGGAGCCCCCUCUCCAGGCCAGGAUGGAGAACCGGCCCACCUCUCAGGCCUGAACACUGCCUGCCUGCCCUCCCUUCAUGUUUAUUUCAGCUCUGUGGGCCUCAGGGCCAACUCAACAGUAGCCCAAGUCCUUCCUCUGCUCGGAGGAAUGGAUGCGGCAAAAAACCUCAGCCCCCAAGGGCGGAGGGGAGCGCGUACAAGCACCCAGGAGCGAGCACCUCCUUAGACUUGGGGCCUGAGGCAUCUCGCUUGCCUCACCCUCGUCCAGCCCUGAGCUCUCCUGGGCCUCCACAGGGCGAGUCAGAAGGAAGCUCAGCACAAAAGCUGCUCCUCAUUGAGGAAUUGCCAGGCCUGGGACCAGCCUGCUUCUGUCCCGGAUCCAUCUCCCCCUCGCAGGGCCGGCUGGUGGAAGAAGUUAACUACAUCAUGACCAGACUGUAGCUAUGACAUAAGCUGCCACAAUUCCAAGAACUGGCCUCAAGGAAAUGCGAACAAACCAACCCCAGAACUAAAGAUGAAUUGUACUUAAAACAAGAUGACGCCGGUCAGACCACCGAUGACCGAUUUCAAGAUGACAGUCAGAGCUGACCGUGCUGUUUCUGCAUGUAGCCCCCUCCCUCCGUCUAUAAAAGCUCUUGCCCCCUGGUCGUCAGUGUGGGUGGGGUGGGGGCCGGCCUUUGGACAGGCAUCCA